rnacentral:rRNA from 1 species
UACGUAGGGUGCGAGCGUUGUCCGGAAUUAUUGGGCGUAAAGGGCUCGUAGGCGGUCUGUUGCGUCGGGAGUGAAAACUCAGGGCUUAACCCUGAGCCUGCUUCCGAUACGGGCAGACUAGAGGUAUGCAGGGGAGAACGGAAUUCCUGGUGUAGCGGCGAAAUGCGCAGAUAUCAGGAGGAACACCGGUGGCGAAGGCGGUUCUCUGGGCAUUACCUGACGCUGAGGAGCGAAAGUGUGGGGAGCGAACAGG